CCAGCAGCCGCGGUAAUUCCAGCUCCAAUAGCGUAUAUUUAAGUUGUUGCAGUUAAAAAGCUCGUAGUUGGAUUUCGGGUGGGUUCCAGCGGUCCGCCUAUGGUGAGUACUGCUGUGGCCCUCCUUUCUGUCGGGGACGGGCUCCUGGGCUUCACUGUCCGGGACUCGGAUUCGACGAUGAUACUUUGAGUAAAUUAGAGUGUUCAAAGCAAGCCUACGCUCUGAAUACUUUAGCAUGGAAUAUCGCGAUAGGACUCUGGCCUAUCUCGUUGGUCUGUAGGACCGGAGUAAUGAUUAAGAGGGACAGUCGGGGGCAUUCGUAUUUCAUUGUCAGAGGUGAAAUU
rnacentral:rRNA from 1 species